CUUGGUCAUUUAGAGGAAGUAAAAGUCGUAACAAGGUUUCCGUAGGUGAACCUGCGGAAGGAUCAUUAUCGUACCAAAUGUGUGGGGUGCGUGAUGGCUGUUGCUGAUUUCAAAAGUCGUGCACGCCGGAGCGUGUCCUCUCACAUAACACAAUCCAUCUCACCCUUUGUGCACCACCGCGUGGGCAUCCUUUUUGGGAUCAGACCGAUCUCUGAGGGGACUCGCGUUUUCACACAACAACCCCCUUUAAAAAGUGUAGAAUGACCUCAUUUAUGCAAUCAAUACAACUUUCAACAACGGAUCUCUUGGCUCUCGCAUCGAUGAAGAACGCAGCGAAAUGCGAUACGUAAUGUGAAUUGCAGAAUUCAGUGAAUCAUCGAAUCUUUGAACGCACCUUGCGCCCCUUGGUAUUCCGAGGGGCACACCCGUUUGAGUGUCGUGAAAACCUCAACCUCCUUGGUUUCUUUCUGGAGACUGAAGGAGGCUUGGACUUUGGAGGCCUUUGCUGGUGUCUCUCACCAGCUCCUCUUAAACGAAUUAGCGGGGUCCUCUUUGCCGAUCCUCGACACGUGAUAAGAUGCUUCCGUGUCUCGGUUUCUGGCUCUGUUGCUUUUGGGACCCGCUUCUAACCGUCUGGACCCUUGUGUCGAGACAAUGUUCGAGAGAUCGUCUCCCUUCUCGGGAAACCCCCUCGACCCCACGAACCCUUGGCCUCAAAUCGGGUGAGACUACCCGCUGAACUUAAGCAUAUCAAUAAGCGGAGGAAAAGAAACUAACAAGGAUUCCCCUAGUAACUGCGAGUGAAGCGGGAAAAGCUCAAAUUUAAAAUCUGGCGGCUCUUUGCCGUCCGAGUUGUAAUUUAGAGAAGCGUCUUCCGCGUCGGACCGUGCACAAGUCUCCUGGAAUGGAGCGUCAUAGAGGGUGAGAAUCCCGUCUUUGGCAUGGAUCCCCGGUGCUUCUGUGAUGCGCUCUCGAAGAGUCGAGUUGUUUGGGAAUGCAGCUCAAAAUGGGUGGUGAACUCCAUCUAAAGCUAAAUAUUGGCGAGAGACCGAUAGCGAACAAGUACCGUGAGGGAAAGAUGAAAAGCACUUUGGAAAGAGAGUGAAACAGUACGUGAAAUUGUUGAAAGGGAAACGCUUGAAGU
rnacentral:rRNA from 1 species